UGGUAAAGAAUUAUCUAUUUUUCUUGUUCAAAAUUGGCAUGACUAAUAGAAUAUUCAAACAAUGGCACAUGAUAUGCUAUGUGUAUUUUAUGCUGACGUAUAAUGAACAUUUUUUAACAGUAGAAAUAGAUAAAAAAUUUAACA
rfam:Gossypium raimondii Chr01_contig_144, whole genome shotgun sequence.